rnacentral:rRNA from 1 species
UUUAAAUUGAGAGUUUGAUCCUGGCUCAGGACGAUCGCUGGCGGCGUGCCUAACACAUGCAAGUCGAGCGAUGAAGCUUCCUUCGGGGAGUGGAUUAGCGGCGGACGGGUGAGUAACACGUGGGUAACCUGCCUCAAAGAGGGGGAUAGCCUCCCGAAAGGGAGAUUAAUACCGCAUAACAUUAUUUUAUGGCAUCAUAGAAUAAUCAAAGGAGCAAUCCGCUUUGAGAUGGACCCGCGGCGCAUUAGCUAGUUGGUGAGGUAAGGGCUCACCAAGGCGACGAUGCGUAGCCGACCUGAGAGGGUGAUCGGCCACAUUGGAACUGAGACACGGUCCAGACUCCUACGGGAGGCAGCAGUGGGGAAUAUUGCGCAAUGGGGGGAACCCUGACGCAGCAACGCCGCGUGAGUGAUGAAGGUUUUCGGAUCGUAAAACUCUGUCUUUAGGGACGAUAAUGACGGUACCUAAGGAGGAAGCCACGGCUAACUACGUGCCAGCAGCCGCGGUAAUACGUAGGUGGCAAGCGUUGUCCGGAUUUACUGGGCGUAAAGAGUAUGUAGGUGGGUGCUUAAGUCAGAUGUGAAAUUCCCGGGCUUAACCUGGGCGCUGCAUUUGAAACUGGGCAUCUAGAGUGCAGGAGAGGAAAGUGGAAUUCCUAGUGUAGCGGUGAAAUGCGUAGAGAUUAGGAAGAACACCAGUGGC